ACAAUGUAUUACGAUUUACCACUAUUGUGUGUAGUACAGGUAGAUAGCGUAACCUGUAACCUUGGGUAUAGUAUACUACGCCCAUUGAUGAAUUAGUCUGGUAGAGGGGUAUGCAUUCACAAUCGUAUUUGUGGUCACAACAUAAUAUAGUAAACAACGUUACUAUGUUCAGGUAUACUACACUACGCGUUAGUACAGAAGUCACAAGCAUGACUCAUCAAAAUUCUAUAGUUUCUUCAAAAUUUUCGUUAUUUUGUUAGGUUACAGUAGUGGCGUCGUACUCCAUACUGGUGUCGGGGCGAGGCCCGACCACAUUUUUAAGACUUCGACGCCACUGUUAUGUAACCCAGUGGCAUCAAAUAUAAUUUAUUUGCUAAUGUUUUUUUUUCUUGCUCCUGGAUCUUAUUGAAAUUCUAAUUGGAAUGGUGGUUGGUGUUCAAGAUGAUCAAUUAUAACAUGCGACAUAUUUAUAAAAAUUAUGUUCAACAAAUGCACCAAUUACCGUUGCAUAAAUGCAAAUUGUCUAUUGCUGAUUUUAUGAUUUAACCUUACUUUAUUGUAGGGGGCGAGGUCCCAUUUGCCUUCUAAUAUAGUUUGCAUUGGCAUGCCCCAUUUUUCUGAGACACCUCAGGAUGUCACCAUCUUCAUUGAGCUGCUCAAUAGCAAUUCUUAAUAUAAGGGUGUUCGCUGCGCGGUUGGCUAUUGUUAAUUGAUCUCUUACCUGCAAAUAUUUAUUUUCUUACGCAAGAAGUCCCAGAUGUUUGGAUGGGUUCCAAAGAAUCGUUUAAGCUGGUUGUGGAAACUCUCCAAAUAAUUAUUAGUGCGGAUAUCACACCCAAAGACACUAAUAAAAUGGGGUCCAACCUGAACCAUCCAAAAGUUAUAAAUGAAGUGUGUAAACAUUCUAAGUCAUACCCUUUCAGAAAUGUCUCCAUUUGGUGGUAGAUUUCAGGAAACUCUUGCGCAUAUUCUAAAAUACGCUGGUAUCCAUCUACCAUUGAAAAUUCAGGACAAUUUUCCUGUCCUCUCAUGGCUGGCAAAUGAGGUAAUGCUAAAACCUAAAUAAAAUAUAAUAUAUAAAAACAUUGUGGCAAUUAUAAUUUAUUAAUGGUAAGUAAAGAAAUAGUUAAUUACCAUUCGGAGGACUCGGGCAGCUAUCGGAUUAGUGGUCAUCAAGUUAUACACCGAGUUGUAUUUUCGGCGACAAUACCUUACAACGGCCUAAGAAAAACAGAUUAUGAACCAAUGAUAUAAUAUUUGUCAUCUAUGAAAUGGUAUCAGUUAUUACUUGAGUGUAAUGAAACCAGCAACACUGUAGUCUGCUCUCUGGAAACACCACAUGAUGCGCGUUCAUCAGGGCACGUUCAUAAUCAGUUAUUAUGGUCAACUGGUCGUAGUUUAACGGAAGCAUGGUGCGGACCACUCUGAAGAACUCUAUGUAUGUUUCUUCAGUUGCACUUGACAAUAAAGCGUAUACCAAUGGAAAAGACUGUAGAUAAAACAAUGGAGGAAGAUGACCUGAAAUGUCAUGAAUGUGCCCUGUCGAAGUUGUUUUGGCAUGCUUGGUACUGUUUUAAAAGUACCUUCACAUCCUGCUAUUGUCACAUUCUGGAACUGCUCCUCAAAAGCUUGUAUGAAGUUCAAGUUCGCAAAAAUAAUUCCUACAACAUUAUUUUGCACGGUAAUCGAUUGCUGAAACAGUUGUGAUGGUUCCUCUUGAAUGGUGGUCCGAUACGCAACAUUCGCAUCUAAGUCCAGUAACUCUACUAGCUCUUCAAUAGUCUGCGGUGUUGGUGGUCUUCGCAGUAUUUUCAUCUUCUUGCAUCUCUCUCGGGCCUGCUGAAAAGUGUAGCUAAAGCUACCACGAGGAUGGCUGCAACAAUAUAGUAAUAUGUUAAGUACAGCUGUCUGGUGGGCACUGCAAUAUCAGAGACUAACCCAAUUACUCUUCUGCCUAUAUCUCUUCUUAAGAAUGGUGCUUCCAAGUCUUGCUGUACAGGAAGGUGAUUGUGUCCCUCAUGUUGAAGUUUAAUAUGGUUGUUUGCAUCGUCAAGUAUGAUUGUAGCCUUGGCAGGACAGUAAUCAUCGGCCUUCUUAUUACGUUGCUUUUCGCACACCAAAUACCUAAGAAAAAAGGUAAAGCUUUUAAUAAACAUUUACAAUUUUGUGAUGUUGUAUACUAACAUUUUGUUGCGGUAUACACUUUUUUUAUAGUAUUUAUAGUACAAAUUAUCUAUGUAUACAUCGGACUUAUUGUGCACUCCGGGUACUUUUUUGUAUGUAUCUGGUCUUUGAAUUUCUAAAAAAAAAUAGAUUUACAAAUAAAUAUAAAGUUAACAUGUUAUUUCCACUAAAUAUUUAUUACCGAUAGCCGGUUGAUCUUCAUCAUCUUCGUCUGAAAGCAUGUCAUCUGCAAUCAGAACUAAAAUCAAGUUUAUAUAUUAAUAAUAUUG